AUUUCCGGAAUAAUAAUAACAUAUCAUUCCCACUGAAGUGUUAUUUACAAAGAUGCAAUGCAUUAUGCAGGGAGUGGAGUUUUGGCUUCCGGGUCCAGAUGAACCUGAUAUCUGGGUCGUCCAGGAUCGCACGGGGAUGUGUGCCGUGUAUUUUUCAGCUGGACUACGGGAACAGAAAAGAUGGGAAAAGCAGAUGUACGUAUAGUGUCAGAGAGCGGCUAGAGAGCCGGUGGGCGGCGGCCGCGGCGGCGGGUGCCUCGGCUGUGUUCUCGCACGCUGCCGCACUAAUCUCGUGGGCGGGCGUGUCUCUGAUUAGCGGUGGCGCAGCCAUGGCGAUGGAUUUCCCCGUCUCUCCGAUGGACAGGUUGCCCAUCUUCUCGGAUGAAGCCUGUAGCGUGGUGGCCCUUGUAAGGUACAGGAUAUAUCUCCUCUAGAUUAUAGUUCACACACACUCACGAUCUGAUACAGGAAUUGAGUUACAGAUGAACUGGGGGAGCAGAGGUAGGAGAAGAGAGGAAGGUAGCCGCCGCUGGGUUGGUCCGUGAUCCACUGGAUGGUUUGCUCCUUGCCUUCGAUCUGGUACUUGUAGUUGCAGCGAUGGGGUAGCAGGCGGGCCAGGUCCAUGAGCGGCCCAGUGGGCAAGCCCAUGUGCGUACAUGCUAGGAGGGCUCCUAACAGCCCUGAUGGAGUUUGAUUGGUGGGGCUGGUCUUGGGGAAGAAGACUCCGCCAAUGGGUGUCGCGGGGCGGUCAUCUGUGGAUUAGGGUGGAGCUCUCUUGGCCAGUGUGCUGCUGUGUGCGCGCGAGGAAAGUGUUGCUGCCGGCGGCGCCACCAUGUCUUUUACAGUGAGAGUGAGGGUGACAACGCUGAUGCCAUUGAACACGACUGUGUUGAAGCACAUCUUGAUAUGGACCAGGAGGCUUUGAUUCAAGAUCGAACAGAGAGUGCUGAUGGAGGCUCUGGGUGGACUAAGAGGAGUGCAGGGUGAGAAUCGGUAAUCAGCCUCCGGAUAGGGCUCCAUGUCAUGAAAGAGUCGGCGCAGUGGAACAGACAAUUAAGGAGUAUGCUGAUAAACUGGGGGACCAUGUAGUUGAGCUUGCUAUUGGUUUAACAUUUGACUCGUUGGGCGAAGCAUAUGAUUUCUAUAGCCCGUACUCAUGGGAGCAUGGUUUCAGCAUAAGGUACGGCAAAAGUAGGCUGAAUGCCGAGAAGACGAAGUGUAUGCAGGAAGUGGUUUAUGGAUGCUCUGUUGUACCAUAUAAGGAUGGAACUGUGGAUGGAGCUCUGUGCAGAUGAGGAUAUUUUUGGAGGCGUAUGGAGGAAGAUGACCGUGGCCCCGGUUAGGUGAGGCUGGGUGAGGGUGGGAGUUGGGCUGACGGCGUCGUUCGUUUUCUGCCAGUGGCCCAGGUGCAUCCAGGCGUGUGUACCACCGGCCAGGUCCGUCUGUACCACGUGGGCCGUAGCUAGCGUCGUCAUGCAAUAAAUGCACUGUGUGGGCCAGCAGGGAGAUUCUGCCGAACGAAUACCAUAUGAAAGAGGUAAAAGCACUCGGAGUCAUA